ensembl:snRNA U6 U6 spliceosomal RNA
GUAUUUAGGACAUUAGUAAUUAGCACAUUGGAAUGAUACAGAGAAGAUUAGCAUGGCCCUGCACAAGGAUGCUGUGCAAAUUUGUGAAGUUUUCCAUAUUUUU